CAAGGGCCUAAUUAGCUAUUCAGUAUCGCAAAAUUGUGUUCGAGCAAGUAGCGACAAUCCAUCCUCAUGUUCAUGAACCGAAGCAUAACAAUAACAUCUAAUCCUUAUAAACUGAACCAAAAACAAAAAAAAAAUGUCUAGAAGUUAACAUGGCUAUAAAAAAGUCUACCACAUUGCCUUGUUCCCCGAAAUGUAAAUAAAAAUAAAAGACCUACGAAAUAACAAAUAAACUUGCUUGGAUCACAUCUCAGAAACCACAUUGCUUACACUGGUACACAACUAAUCUACAAUGGUUUAAAAGGAUUGGGUGAGCUUAACAAG
rnacentral:lncRNA from 1 species